rnacentral:rRNA from 1 species
UACGUAGGUGGCAAGUGUUGUCCGGAUUUACUGGGCGUAAAGGGUGCGUAGGCGGCGCGGUAAGUCGGGUGUGAAAUCUUGGAGCUUAACUCCGAAACUGCAUUCGAUACUGCCGUGCUUGAGGACUGGAGAGGAGACUGGAAUUUACGGUGUAGCGGUGAAAUGCGUAGAUAUCGUAAGGAAGACCAGUGGCGAAGGCGGGUCUCUGGACAGUUCCUGACGCUGAGGUGCGAAAGCGUGGGGAGCAAACGGG